rnacentral:lncRNA from 1 species
UUUUUUUGAUAGUUUUUUAAUUGUAUAAGUGAUAGAUAAAUUAGAUAAACUGUGGACCUUCUUAUUUGUAUAUGUUGUUGCUUUACAGUUUCAGCGUCUGCUGGUGGAGGUGUGGUUCUGCUUUCAAUAGUAAUCAAUCUAUGCAUGACAGAAUCACCUAACACUACAAAUUUGAUCUGGUUCAGCCAUGAGCAGAUGAUUGCAUUAUGGCUGAAUUAGCUGAACAUCAUGUGAUGGAGUGUUUAUGCUGGAAUUAUGUUUAUUGCCUGCUAAAUACCUGAUCAAGUAUGAUGUCAGUGAGAAUAAAAAUUACCCCUUCAAAAUUAAUUGAGCAAAUUGCAACAGACAGAAUGAUUGUCUUCUAGUUCAGUACUCUGCAUCUUGCAACAACACUUCUGUCCAUUUCUGAUGUGAUACUACACCAUACUGGUGCUGGACAUUCAUAUCUGUUGGUGAUUUAUGAUACCAAAUCUUGUUAGUCUCUGCUAAUGCUUGAGAGCAGUACUUAACCAUUUUAAUUAUGAUUUGUGAUUCCAAUUUGGACAGAUUUCUGUUUCAUUUUAAUGACUGCAGUCUCAAAAUCUGUGUCAUAAAAUUUUGAUCUGGUUUCUAAAUACACUUGUUAACAGCUUGUAAUCAUGAUGUGCAUAGAUGGAAAUGAGGACAAGAACCAUACUUAUUAGGCUGACUGCAGUUUGGAAAAAUAAUAAUUGAGCAUAAGUAUUUUGGCAUAAAUCUAAGAAAUGUUGUUUCCCAAAAAAGAAUAUGCUCUCCUUUAUUCUUCAUUUAAUCUGACAUACAAAGUUGGCUAGUAAAUACUGUUUUUCAGGAGCACAGCAAAGAGAAUUUAAUCCCAGGUUCCAACAAGCACACAGAAGUUCUUUUGUUCCUCCAUAUCAUAAUCAGAUGAGGGGGUUCCUCUGGAGAAGUCCUCAACCACAAGGUAGAGAACAUAGAAUGGGAUAUCCAGACCGGAGGAGAAGAUUCCACCUUCCUCCUCGGUAAAGAAUAAAUGUGACGACCUAGCAAACUGAGAUGCUGGGAUAGUUAUUGUUGGGGUCAUUAUGUCUAUGAAAAUUUCUUUUUACAAACUUUAGAGAGUAACUGAACCAUAUGACUGCAAAGGAAAUGACUCAAAGCUGAGGCUAUUUAGGGUGUUAAUGAAUUCCUUGUCAUGUUGAGUCUAAGCUUACAACGAGACCAAAAUCACUAAAAUUUAAGUUAAAGGUACCAACUGAAGCAGAGUAGCAUCUAAGUGUACCUACGUUAUUUUGUGCUAUUGACACUGGAUGUUCUGAAGUAUAUUUACCACAUCAUUAGAUAUUCCUGACUAUAAGUUUUAAGACUUAAACUACAAGUUUUGCACACUUCUGUUAUACUUUUCUAUGUUAUAAGACUUUGGACACCAUGAAUCACAUGGAACGUCUAUGCUGAAUUGUGGUUUGUGUCUUGUGUAGAUUAUAUCUUAAUUUUAAGGGUUGAACCAUUGUUACUGAAACCUGUUGAAAAGUUUGAAACAUGACAUCACUGAUUGUAAAUAUCACCUGCCAAUGAAACAAAAUGACCUUCCUGUAAAAUGCAGUGCUUUUCUGCUAGAGCCAAAAGUUGCUGUUGCUUUUGGCUCUUUUAGUUAAGCAGUUCUGUCUCACUUGAAUGUGCAGGAUGAACCACAUCAUUGCUGAGGAGAGAAAGAAUCUGAAUCUUGUCAUGCUUUACUUCUGCAAUAAAUAAUACUUAGGAGAACUAGUCUUUUUUUCACUUUCCCGAAAUUCUAAUUCAAAGACUUAUCUUUAUAAUUCUUUGCUAAAAAAUAGGUAGGCUUCACUUUGAUUCAAUUUCAGUAAUAAACUUAAUUAUAAAAUUAAUUAAUUUGAAAUAAAGUUAAUAUAAUACUAAAGGAACAUAGAACAGAGCACAUGCAGUUUUUAACAGCAUUGUCAGAUCAUAUAUUGAUAAACUGGUACAACAAAAACCCCUCUUCACGCAUUACAGCAUGAAAAACACACUACUUAUGUUUUUUAAGAAACUGUUUUGUUUUUUUUUUAAGAGUUCACAAUAUCCUUCUCAUG